rnacentral:tmRNA from 1 species
GGGGACUUCUGUUGAUGGGCGUCCCCUGACCCCUUGUGCUGACCGCUAGUAGCUUAAACGCUAACUAUGAUAGCACGCGCUUAAUCGUUGGCUCUAUUUGGAGCCAACGCGUUAGCGUGUGUAAACUCGUUGUGUUGGCUUACAUUUUUUCUAUUUAACGCAUAGGCUUCGGACAAGCGUGGGAAUCUUUACACCGCUGUCUACUUUCUCUAUUGCACCCCCUAAGUGUAUAUCGUGUUAUGGAGGCGCCGGGAAUUGAACCCGGAUCCAGCGGAUUAUUGCAUUGCCACUUGUUUAUUGUCAUAGCUAAGUUAGC